rnacentral:rRNA from 1 species
AGGACGAACGCUGGCGGCGCGCUUAACACAUGCAAGUCGUACGGGGCCCUUCGGGGUUCAGUGGCGAACGGGUGCGUAACACGUGAGUGACCUGCCCUUGUGCGGGGGAUAACCCGGGGAAACCCGAGCUAAUACCGCAUGAACUCAGACUGCUUCAUGGUGGAUUGGAGGAAAGGUGCUGUAAGGCACCGCGCGAGGGAGGGGCUCGGCGGCGUAUCAGGUAGUUGGUGACGGUAACGGCUACACCGAAGCCGAUGACGCGGUAGGGGUCUGAGAGGAUCGGCCCCCCACGAGUUGGGACUGGA